GAAAAAAAUGCUGGAGCAAUGGGACAUCCAAUGCCACGAGAGUGAACGUUACACCUAUACAAGAAGUAACUCAGAAUCAUAGAUUAAAAUAUAAAACCCCAAAUCUUUUAGCAGAUAACAGGCUGGGUGUGGUGGUUCACACUUGUAAUCCCAGACCUUUGAGAUGAAGACUAGUCUGAGCAACACAGCAAGAUCUCAUUGCUACAAAAAUUUAGAAUAUUAGCCCAGCAUGGUAGCAUGCACCUGUGGUCCCAUCUACUCCGGAGGCUGAGGCAGAAGGAUUGCUUGAACCCAGGUGGUUAAGGCUGCAGUGAGCCAUGAUUGUGCCACUGCAUUCCAGCCUGGGUAACAGAGCAAGACCCUGUCUCCAAAAA
rnacentral:lncRNA from 1 species